rnacentral:lncRNA from 10 species
CUGGAGUGCAGCAGCGCCAUCAUAGCUCACUGCCACCUAGAAGCCGGGGUGAAGCAAUCCUCCUCCAUCAGCCUUCAGAGUAGCUGGGACUACCUGCGCGGCCCACCACACCCGGCUAAUCUUUGUGGUUUUUGUUUUGUUUUCCGUUCUGGGUUUCCGUCGGGCGCAGUGGCUCAGGCCUGCAAUCCCAGCACUUUGGAAGGCAGAGGUGGGCGGAUCACCCGAGGUCGGAGACCAGCCUGACCAACAUGAAGAAAUCCCGUCUCUACUAAAAAAAAGAAAAAAACUACAAAAUUAGCCGGAUAUGGUGGCUCAUGCCUGUAAUCCCAGCUACUAGGGAGGCCCAGGCAGGAGAAUCACCUAAAUCCGGGAGGCCGAGGUUGCGGUGGGCAAAGAUCACACCAUUGCACUCCAGCCUGGACAACAAGGGUGAAACUCCGUCUCAAAACAGAGACCGGGUUUCACCAUGUUGCCCAGGCGGUCUGGAACUCCUAGGCUCAAGCGAUCUGCCACACUCGGCCUUCCAAAGUCCUGGGAUCACAAGGGGGAGGCACCACGCCAGGCAGAUCUAUUCCUUUCUGGUUACUAAAUUGGACCGGGGGCGCGGUGGCUCACGCCUGCAAUCCCAGCACCCAGGGAGGCGGAGGCGGGCGUAUCACUCGAGGUCAGGAGCUCGAGAUCAGCCUGACCAACACGGAGAAACCCCGUCUGUACCAAAAAAAUAAAACCAAAAUUAGCUGGCAUGGUGGCUCAUGCCUGCAAUCCCAGACACUCAGGAGGCUGAGGCAGGAGAACCACCUAAACCCGGGAGGUGGAGGCCG